rnacentral:lncRNA from 1 species
GCGCAAGGAAGUGUUGGAGGUAUGCCCUAGAGGCAAUCAUAGAGAUGAUGAUAUUCCAUUUGUAUCCAUGAUUUGUAUAUUGUGUUCAUUGAAUACCCAUUAAAGGCUACUUGAAUUGAUUUGCAAUUAUGUGAAUUGUAUGUGAAACUCUUUACUUGUAUGGUUAUUCUAAAGUUGUCCCUAGUCGGAGUUCAUGAAAGGACACACAUGAAUAUUAGACUAGCACAUGUAUUAGUUGAUGACUAUGUUUCACAAGUCAUGGACAUGGAGAUGUUGAACUAAUAAUGUGGACACAUGUGGAGACAUGUGCUAGGACUGACCCAACACGAGAAGUAGUUCUCUCUUUAAACAACAUAUACACUUUGUCCUUAGACCUGAGAUUGUCGCAUGUAUUCUAGAUGUGGAUCGACCUACUUAGGGGCUAUCAAACGCUACGCCGUAACAGGGUAGUUAUAAAGGUAGCUUUCGGGUUUGUCAAGAAGCAUGCUAUG